rnacentral:rRNA from 1 species
UACAGAGGGGGCGAGCGUUGUUCGGAAUUACUGGGCGUAAAGGGCGCGUAGGCGGCCUUCUAAGUCGAACGUGAAAUCCCCGGGCUCAACCCGGGAACUGCGUCCGAUACUGGGAGGCUUGAAUCCGGGAGAGGGAUGCAGAAUUCCAGGUGUAGCGGUGAAAUGCGUAGAUAUCUGGAGGAAUACCGGUGGCGAAGGCGGCAUCCUGGACCGGCAUUGACGCUGAGGAGCGAAAGCUAGGGGAGCAAACGGG